rnacentral:sRNA from 1 species
AAUGAAAUGUAUUUGACGGGGCUGGGUGAAGUGGCUCAAGCCUGUAAUCCCAACACCUUGAGAGGCUGAGACAGGAGGAUUGCUUGAGUCCAGGAGCUCGAGACCAGCCUGGGCAUAUGCACUGGGCUCAGUUCCUCUCAUUUCCAUCGCGGGAUAUGUUGAUAGAGACAUCCAGCUACUCUGUCAGUCCUCGGGCUGGUUCCCCCGGCCCACAGCGAAGUGGAAAGGUCCACAAGGACAGGAUUUGUCCACAGACUCCAGGACAAACAGAGACAUGCAUGGCCUGUUUGAUGUGGAGAUCUCUCUGACCGUCCAAGAGAACGCCGGGAGCAUAUCCUGUUCCAUGCAGCAUGCUCAUCUGAGCCAAGAGGUGGAAUCCAGGGUACAGAUAGGAGAUACCUUUUUCGAGCCUAUAUCAUGGCACCUGGCUACCAAAGUACUGGGAAUACUCUGCUGUGGCCUAUUUUUUGGCAUUGUUGGACUGCAGAUUUUCUUCUCCAAAUUCCAGGGGAAAAUCCAGGCGGAACUGGGUGAGUAUGUGUCAUGUCCUGAGCCUCCCACACAUGGUUCUCCCGGGUCCCUCCCUGAUCCACAGUUUGAGCCUCUGGACGACCCUGGCUGCAGGCUGGACAGGAAGCACCGGCAGGUGGAGGAGAGCACCUGCUCGCUCUCUCCAUCCACUGCUCAUGAGUUACCCCUCGGACAUCUGGAGGGCUUAGGAUAGGCCCCGGGGCCUGGGAGUCCCCACAAAUUGUCUGUGCCUGUUGCCCGUUGGUUUGCUGUGUGUGUGGUGGGGGGAGGUGUUGAUCCUGAGCUCUGAGGGUGUGUGGGCCACAGUGAGGAACCUGAGAAAAAUUUGUGGGUGAUCCUCGACCUCCCCUGGCCUGAUGCUUUGAGACUUUAUCCAGUUCUGUAUCAACCACUAAAUAGUCUGCUUUUUGUUUCGUGGAAACUCCAGGAUAAACUGGGUGAGAGUGUUAUCACUCGCAGGGAUUUCCUCCCACGCCCUCCCUGGGCCCCCGCUCUGUGACGUCAACCUCUUACAUGUUUUUUGUUUUUGUUUUUCAGAC